UACAGAGGUCUCAAGCGUUGUUCGGAUUCAUUGGGCGUAAAGGGUGCGUAGGCGGCGCGGUAAGUCGGGUGUGAAAUUUCGGAGCUUAACUCCGAAACUGCAUUCGAUACUGCGGUGCUUGAGGACUGGAGAGGAGACUGGAAUUCAUGGUGUAGCAGUGAAAUGCGUAGAGAUCAUGAGGAAGACCAGUGGCGAAGGCGGGUCUCUGGACAGUUCCUGACACUGAGACACGAAGGCCAGGAGAGCAAACGGG
rnacentral:rRNA from 1 species